rnacentral:rRNA from 1 species
UACGUAGGGUGCGAGCGUUAAUCGGAAUUACUGGGCGUAAAGCGUGCGCAGGCGGUGAGCUGUGUCCGAUGUGAAAGCCCCGGGCUUAACCUGGGAAUGGCAUUGGAAACUGGCUCGCUGGAGUGUGGCAGAGGGGGGUGGAAUUCCGCGUGUAGCAGUGAAAUGCGUAGAGAUGCGGAGGAACACCGAUGGCGAAGGCAGCCCCCUGGGCUAACACUGACGCUCAGGCACGAAAGCGUGGGGAGCAAACAGG